ensembl:lncRNA
AUGACUCUGUUCUGUGGUCCUGUUUGUAGGAUGUGGGGGACUGCCUGUCUCUGUUCACAGCAGAGGAGGAGAUCUUUACGUUUCAGAGGACCAUCUCAGUCCAGACUGACCGAGAUGCAGACGGAGAUGUACUGGACCCAAAGGGACCGAUUUCACACAGCACACACAAAAUGUGUUGGAUGCCUCCGGGUUCAUUCAAAUGGCAGGCAUGGCUUGAACGAGCUGAAGAGAGAAACUGACUGAAAUGCUGGGCUGACUUUAUACAUUUCUACCAGAAGAUGGCAGCAAAUGAUGGCCUACAGAAGCAUUCAUUCAUCCACCCCCUGUGUCCCUUUCCUCUCUCUGAUGCCCAAAGACAUUGUACCAAGUUGGGUCAGAGCCCUUCUCGCAAGCAAGGGGGAGGCCGAUGACAUAAGAGCAUCAGACUAACUCCUUGAAUGGCAUACUCCUUGAAGUUUGCAGUUGUCUAAAAAACACUAUUUUGCUUAAAAUGUAUUUUUCUUACCCUUAAGUGGAUGUACAUUACUGUAUUUAUACUUGGGAUAUUGUUUUUCAACAGGAAAGGUUCAAAUAUAGCUGGAGUGUGUCUUUAACCCUCCACUGCAGUAGCUAACUGCAGGCACCAAACUGCUGUAUCAGCCAUUCCUCUUUAUAUACAUAGCUGGGACAGGAGGAACAAAGAGGAGCAUGUUUACAUGUGAGCGUGCGUGCAUUCGUUCUUGUGUUAAUUUUGUAUACAGAACAAAAAUAUAAACGCAACAUGCAACAAUUUGAAAGAUUUUAUUGAGUUCAUAGAAGGAAGUCAGUCAUUUGAAAUAGUCAGUAUACAUGCAUGUGUAUGUACUUCGUUUGUUAUAAUUAUAAAUGAAAUAGUGUUGAUGUUUUCCAUGUAAAAUUCAAAGCCAUAACACAACCAAUGCCUUGCAGAAUGUGUGUGUUUUGUCUGAUUUAGUAUAUAGGAUUGUUAUCCAUUCCUAAUCAAUGCCAUCCGUUCCAAGAAUGAAUUGAUGAAUACCGCGCACAGGUGGAAUUCGCGCAUUCCUGUACAUAAAUCGAGAGAGCGUGUCCCCCCUGCAAGGUGGACGCGCACUUUACACAACAUCUUCUCUGGAACAAAGACGUAUGGAGGCUGACUGAUGCUGGUGUUUUGGUACGGUUUUGGUACGGUCUUGGAGGUGGGAGGGGAGGGGAGGGGCAACCACUCCGAAGUAUCACAUACAGGACAGAUAACCAUAGCAUUUAUUCCCUUAUCUCUUCAUUAUGAAUGACGUCAUGUGUUUGAAGAGGUCGAUCUGGUUUGAAGGGGGCGUGUUCUGCGCGUGCUGUCCACAUUGAUUGACACCCAUGCUCACGGAUUAAAGGUUUAAAGAUACUGUCAUUAAAAGAAAAAUGACUUAACUUGACUUAAAGACUUCACUAUUUCAUUAUAAUAUUUGGUAGAAUGCAUGUCAUUUAAGUUAUGAAUAAAGUAUAGGCUAAUAUCCAACACAAGGAAAACAAACACCUACUUGCAUAUACCUAAAUUGUUACAUAUGUGUAGGCCUAUGUCAGUUGUUACAUUCUAACAGUGCACCACAGCGGAAGUGGAAAUAAUGCUACAUAUGUCAACCAUACCUUUAACAAUAAUUGCCAUAAUGUAGCCUUUGUCAUUAGUCUAUGAAUUAUAUUUCUAAAAGGAGCAAUAUAAUUAUUUGGAAUUCAAAGUAAAUGUCCUCUAUCCACCGUUGAAUUUCUUUGUGUUCUUAUUAUUGUACAAUAAUAUUUGUAUGAUCUGUUUGUCUAUUUCUGGAUCCCUCAACAUGCCAGGACAUGUGUCCCUUCCACAAACUGCUUGCCUGGAUAUGCCAGCGCGCACAUAGGCUACUGUAUCUUGGAGGGUGUCUCUUUAAAAGGCGGAAGGGGUGGCCUUUACAGUGGUAACGUUAGUCUUAUCUAGCCACCACUAUUGCUGCUGUUGCUGUAUAACUUUGAGCUUGUUGAGGGCUGUCACAUGACGGAAUGUGCUAAGUAGAUAGAUAUGUGUGCAGCAGAAGAGAUCGGGCCUACUGUAACCGCGAGUAUGAUGUGGCGUUUCGUUUUCCAUACCAACUGAGCUGCGUUCGUCAGUAAAGGCGGCUUUUUGAGAAACGGAGAUAGCAUUCGAAAUCCCGUUCCUUUUCGCUGCGUAUUGUUUUUUCAACAAUACGCAGUAUUGUAUCCAGUCUCAUUUUAAAAGGGACUUGAGAGUGAAAGGGAAUUUGGCAAGAUGGCAGCAAUGACAGGAGGGAUAGGACUAUGCAGGAAUUAAUCGCUUCCAUCACCAUAGCGCGCAGUGACUGUACGCUUUUAUCCGUGGCGGACAGCUUCAGUGUGAUGACGUUUUACCAGGUUCUCCGUGGCUAUUGACGAGGAGGUUCAAAUUGGUGUAUUCACUUGCCUUGCAUCAAUGCGGGAUUUGAUCUUGAACGCGCAAGGUAGGAAUGUGCAAUCCGCUCAUUGAUGAACGAACUCGCGCUACACAGUAGAUUAGUCGUGAACGAACUGUAGUCAUUGUACUGUUGUUAUCAACAUUGCUCCAGGCGAGGAGAAAUACGACGAAUAUGCAGGCGAGGAGAAAUACGACGAAUAUGCAGCAACCCGUUUUGAACUGUUGCGAUUGUCAAAUGUAAAGUCGCUGUGGCUUGCAUAUGGAGCCAGGGAGAAUAGUCAUCGUUUAAUAGUUAUGGUGCGAAGACAUUUAUAAUGGUCCACGAGUAAUACGAUUAAAAUAUAUCCUGAUCAGCAUAGCGGUGCUUUUUUUUGCUACUAGAGGAUUUUCUCAAUUCACGCGGAGUUGAUAGUGACCCUUGGGGACUGCUGGUCUGGAAUAGCAACAAAGGCGGGGGCGCGCAUUCAUGGAAUGCGAAUUUGACAACUCUCCACUACUUAUCUACUGACCUUAUCAGCGGGCAGCAGGGACG